CGACCACAAAACCCUCCCUGCAAGUGUGCAGUUUGUUUGUUUUUUGUCCCCUCAAAGUGCAACCAUGAUGACGGACGUGACCUUUUGUGAUGGGGGGGAGCCCACAAGCUCCUGAGCUCAGGUGAGCUCCAGGUGUUGAAGGUGGGAGAAGCGCCAUAUCCUUAUAUGGAAAACAAACCCAUGUCGGCUUAGAGCGCCAGCUGCUGCUCCAGCUGCUCAGUGGCCUUAUAAGCAAAGGUGUGAGGAAUGUCACCCUUUGUUGUUUUGCAGCCUCAGAAGGAAUCACGUCAUCCAGGUGCAACGAGGGCCGAAAACCUGACUGUCCGCCUCGAAACAGAGAUCUCAUCUCAGUGGGACGUCCUGGUAAAAUAAGAUGAAUAAAAAAACUUCUGAAUAAGAUCACUAUUUCCUGUCCACACGAUUGACAAAGAUGAAUAAAUGUCACUUAUUUGUGCCA